rnacentral:rRNA from 1 species
CGCGUGGUUCUAUUUUGUUGGUUUUUAGAACCGCCGUAAUGAUUAAUAGGGACAGUCGGGGGCAUCUGUAUUCAAUUGUCAGAGGUGAAAUUCUUGGAUCUAUUGAAGACAAACUACUGCGAAAGCAUUUGCCAAGGAUGUUUUCAUUGAUAAGGAACGAAAGUUAGGGGAUCGAAGACGAUCAGAUACCGUCGUAGUCUUAACUAUAAACUAUGCCGACUAGGGAUCGGACGAUGUUAUUUUUUGACUCGUUCGGCACCUUUCGAGAAAUCAAAGUGCUUGGGCUCCAGGGGGAGUAUGGUCGCAAGGCUGAAACUUAAAGAAAUUGACGGAAGGGCACCACCAGGGGUGGAGCCUGCGGCUUAAUUUGACUCAACACGGGGAAACUCACCAGGUCCAGACACAGUGGGGAUUGACAGAUUGAUAGCUCUUUCUUGAUUCUGUGGGUGGUGGUGCAUGGCCGUUCUUAGUUGGUGGAGUGAUUUGUCUGCUUAAUUGCNAUAACNAACGAGACCUUAACCUGCUAAAUAGCCCGUUCUGCUCCGGCAGUACGCUGGCUUCUUAGAGGGACUAUCGGCUCAAGCCGAUGGAAGUUUGANGCAAUAACAGGUCUGUGAUGCCCUUANAUGUCCUGGGGCCGCACGCGCGUUACACUGACAAAGCCNGCGAGUAUUUCCUUANCCGGAAGGNUUGGGUAAUCUUGNUAAACUUUGUCGUGC